rnacentral:rRNA from 1 species
AACGAACGCUGGCGGCAUGCCUAACACAUGCAAGUCGAACGAGACCUUCGGGUCUAGUGGCGCACGGGUGCGUAACGCGUGGGAACCUGCCCUUAGGUUCGGAAUAACUCCCCGAAAGGGGUGCUAAUACCGGAUAAUGUCUUCGGACCAAAGAUUAUCGCCUUUGGAUGGGCCCGCGUUGGAUUAGCUAGUUGGUAGGGUAAAAGCCUACCAAGGCGACGAUCCAUAGCUGGUCUGAGAGGAUGAUCAGCCACACUGGGACUGAGACACGGCCCAGACUCCUACGGGAAGCAGCAGUGGGGAAUAUUGGACAAUGGGCGAAAGCCUGAUCCAGCAAUGCCGCGUGAGUGAUGAAGGCCUUAGGGUUGUAAAGCUCUUUUACCCGGGAUGAUAAUGACAGUACCGGGUGAAUAAGCUCCGGCUAACUCCGUG